rnacentral:rRNA from 1 species
GACGAACGCUGGCGGCGUGCCUAAUACAUGCAAGUCGAGCGCAGGAAACUGACGGAACUCUUCGGAGGGAAGGCAGUGGAAUGAGCGGCGGACGGGUGAGUAACACGUAAGGAACCCGCCUCAAGGAUUGGAUAACUCCGAGAAAUCGGAGCUAAUACCGGAUAGUUCAUCGGACCGCAUGGUCCGUUGAUGAAAGGCGCUUCGGCGUCACCUUGAGAUGGCCUUGCGGUGCAUUAGCUAGUUGGUGGGGUAACGGCCCACCAAGGCGACGAUGCAUAGCCGACCUGGGAGGGUGAUCGGCCACACUGGGACUGAGACACGGCUCAGACUCCUACGGGAGGCAGCAGUAGGGAAUCUUCCACAAUGGACGAAAGUCUGAUGGAGCAACGCCGCGUGAGUGAUGAAGGUUUUCGGAUCGUAAAACUCUGUUGUAAGGGAAGAACACGUACGAGAGGGAAUGCUCGUACCUUGACGGUACCUUACGAGAAAGCCACGGCUAACUACGUGCCAGCCGCCGCAGUAAGAC